UGCGUAGGUGGCGUGGUAAGCCGGGUGUGAAAUUUCGGAGCUUAACUCCGAAACUGCAUUCGAUACUGCUGUGCUUGAGGACUGGAGAGGAGACUGGAAUUUACGGUGUAGCAGUGAAAUGCGUAGAGAUCGUAAGGAAGACCAGUGGCGAAGGCGGGUCUCUGGACAGUUCCUGACACUGAGGCACGAAGGCCAGGGGAGCAAACG
rnacentral:rRNA from 1 species